CCCCCUCUCUCGGAUUUAGCCACGCCCUUCAUUCGUUACUGUGGGGAUUUUCGGAACAGAGGUUGUGGCAGUUUCAGCAUCAAAUACCUGACCUCCUCUGUCACAGGACAUCCACUGUUUAAGCACCACCACUACCUCAGGAAGUCCACUGUCUGUGUGUCAACUCCACUGUUACAGGACUUCAAGUUUCUCAGCAUCUCAACUAUCACAGGAUUUCUACUGUGCAGGAGCUCAAGUGUCUUACAAUGUCCAAUGUCAUAGGACCAUCAAUGUCACAAGAACUCCUCUGUCCAAGGAACUGCACAGUCCAAACAACACUAUGAUUGCAGGACAUUCACUGUGGAAACACCUCCACUAUGGCAGGGCCUCCACGGUCCAUAAAUCAACUCCACUGUCGCAGAUCCCCCAUUGCUGCAGACCUCCACUGUCACAGGACCUCCACUGUAGGAGCACUACAACUGUCGCAGGAUCUCCAGUGUCUUAUAACCUGCUCUAUCCCAGGACUUCCACUGUUGUAGCAUUACCAUGGUCACAGCAACUACACUGUUUCAGGACAUCAAGUGAAGCUGGACCUCCAAUGAUGCUCCAACUUCUCUGUCACAGGAUCUCUACAGUUACAGGAAUACUCCUGUAUCAGCAAUUCCAAUUGCUGGACCUCAGUUGUCACAUGACCUCCACUGUAGCCGAACCUUCAAUUUUGCAGCACCUCCACUAGAGGUAGAAUGACCUCCCCUAUCACAGUGCCUCCACUUUCAAAGGACCUUCACUGUCACAGAACCUGCACAAUUUCAGUGCCUCCGCUGUUGCAGGACCUACCUUUUCACAGGAUCUGCACUGUUGCAACAACUCUAAUUGCACUUUUACAAAGGCAUUACUGGUUAUUAGAUUUGAGGCUGAAUGGAAUGUGAUGUUACUUUCGUAAACAUAAGAAUUGGUUCUGUACGUCUUGUGAUUAAUGGCCACUUGUGCUAGGACCAGUAACUUAUGGAAAGAUUGCAUGAGGUCAUAGCACUCUCCACCUCACCUUGUGGAAACUGGUGUUUUUAGAGUGUGAUAAACUUCAGGUGAAGGGAUGCAGUCAGCAAGACCAUGCUCUAGAGUGGGAUACACAGCAGUCAUAUUGAGUUCUUGUUGGGAAAAAAGAAAUCCAGAAGAGGGAGGAGGCUUGGGUUAGAGGAAGAAUCAUAAAAUAUUUAGAGAAUAUAAGAAGGUAAGAAUUAUGGGGAACUGGAAAACAGAGCCAGAGGAAGAAUGAGCACAGAGCAAACUGGGAUGGACAAAGCACAAAUGUACCUGGGUUGUGCCUUCUGCAUGUUCUCUGGACGAUCGCCUUGUGCCUCCUUUCUGGGAGAACACUCUCUUCUCCCCAUAUAAAGUUUCUUUCUUGAAAGAAAGCAGCAACACAACUUCAUCAGUGAAUUUCCCCAUUGAAAUUUGUUCAUUCUUUCAAAGCCUCUGGGAAGGCCCUAGCUGGGGAAAGUCCUCUCAGCUGAGAAACAGCAGGAAAGUAGGUUGUCCUCUGUGUUCUCAUUGCUACUGCUCUUCUAAGUGUGGUUGAUUGUUGAUUGAAGACACAGGGCACUUCUAGCAUGUAUGUAUGCUUUAUUCAGUGUGGGUGGCAUUGGGAGUAUCCUGAAAAGAAGGGUAGGUGCCUCUGCCUCUUUGACUAGGUGUAUGAUCAAAGUCAGACACUCGACCAUUGGAAGAUGAGACCAAUGUGUCUACGGUGUACUCACUUCUAUUCCUCUUUAGUCCUAGAGGGAAAUAAGUGCCGUCAGUGAGGGUAGGGAAUGGGGCCCUAACUGGACAAACUUGCUGAGCCUGGGUUAUGCAGCCAUGCCGGUGAAUAGCUUCCCCUUACAUUAAGUAGUAAGAUGCCAUGCUCUGGUUGUACCUUCCCUGAUACAGUGAAUCUAUAAUCUCUUGGCCUCAAAACCCAAUAUAUUACAUUGCUUUCACAAGUGGAGUAUCUGGCAUGAGAGGGAUCAUUUCCUCAUAGGGAUUUGGGAACCACUUACAGUCUUCAUUGAGCAUGGGUGUGUCAUCACCUAUGUGACUGUUAGCCCAUAUCUGUGAUUCACUGUCAUUAGGAGGCUAAGCUGCCUCUUCUGACAUCCCACAGUGGGCUGGAUACAUACCACUCACAACCUGUCUCCUCAGCUCUUGUAUGACAAAAUGUAACCCUACUCCUAAGUCCAUAUGUUGGGGGGGUUGUUUUUUUGUUUUGUUUUGUUUUGUUUUGUUUUUGGAACAUCCUACCGUUUUCCUAGGAAGAGAUCAGGUGCACCAUUAGGAUAAGCACCAUGCUACCAGUUCAGCAUUUGCCCAAGUUUGACUUGCCUUGAAGGCCAAAGUUGAUGAUUUUGACUUUUCCAUUCUUCUCUAACAGAAUAUAAUCUGGUUUCAGGUCACUGUGUACUUUUACAGUGCCCAUAGCCGUAGAUUAAGCCUGCUAAUAUUUACCCAAAUAUUUCCUUGACCCUGUACUCCUCUAAGGGGAAAGACUUUCAAACGUAUUUGUAAAGCUGUAAAAUUUCAACCAGUUUCAUGAUAAGUUAUUAGACUUGUCUCAGACUCAAUUGGAGAAGCAAGAUGAUGUUGGGGUUGAUGAAAAUCUUCAUUAUAUUUGCCAUGGUCAUGUUUGGCUGGCACCAUUGCUUCUUCUUUGCAUGCACUUUGAUAACCCCUGUAGCAGAACUUCCACUGUCCCAGCACCUGCACUAUCCCAAGAUCUCCACUCUCACCGGACCAAUAUUGCAGUAGGACGUCUGCGGUCAGGCAACUCCACUGUCUCAGACCCUCCAAAUUGCAAGACCUUUACGGGCACUGGAAGUUACUGUCCCUAAACUUCCACUGUUGGAAUACCUCAGCUAUAACAAGGACCCCUACCAUUGCAAAACCCCCUUGUCAUAGCACCUCUACAAUUACAAAGAAGUCCACUGUCAAAGGACAUCCGGUGUCUCAGCCCCUCCACUGUUGCAGGAUCUCUACUGUCUCAGGAUCACUACUGUUGCAGGACCUCCCCUCUCUCAGCAACUCCAAUUUGCAGGAGCUCUCCUAUCAGAGGACAUUUACAUUUUCUGUACUUCCAGUGUCACAGCACCUCAACUGUUAAAAGAAUUUCCAUACUCACAAGACCGCCAAUGUCUCAGUAACUCCACUGUCCUAGGACCUUUAUGUUAUAGGACCUCUGCUGACACAAGAUGUCCACUGUUGCUAGACUUCCACUGUUAUAACCACUCAACCAUUACAAGGACCGCAAUUUUGGCAUGACCUCCACUGUCCCAUCCCCUCCAGUGUCAUAGGACCUCCACUCUCACAGGAUAAUCCACUGUCUCAGCAAGGCCAAUUUGCAGGACCUCUACUAGGACAGGAUAUCCACUGUAGCUGGACGUACACUGUUGCAGUACCUCAACUGUUGCAGGACCCACAGCGUUGCAGGACAUGGACCCUCUCAGCUUCUAGAAUUUGCAGGACCUCAACUGGCACAGAAAUUCCACUGUUGCUGGAGAUCCACUGUCAUUGAAAAUGUGUUGUCUCAUGAUAUUCACUGUUGCUGGACCAGUAGUGUGGCAGCACCUCCAUUUUAUCCAAACCCCUCCACUGAUGCAGGAUCUCCACUUUUGUAGCAGCUUCACUGUCCAAGCAAACCAACUAUUUCAGGAUCUCCAGUGUCUCAGGGCAUUCACUAAUGCCCGUCCUCCAACGUUGUAGGAUAUUAUCCACUUUCUCAACAGCUACACUUUGGCAGGACCUCUAUUGGCAGAGAAAGUCCACUGUUGCUGGACCUCCACUGUCAGUGCAAAUGCACUGAUUCAGGACCUCUACUUUUCUAAGGACCUCCAAUAUUGCAGGACCUCAAAUGUCCCAGGACCUCAAGUGAUGCAGCACCUCCUUUUUCCCAUCACCUUUACUGUCCCAGAACCUCCACUUUCCCAGGAACUGUUCUGUUGCAGGGCCUCCAAAGUUGGAAGAACUGUACUGUAUCAAGACCUCAACUGUUGCAGGACCUCCAUCAUUAUAGGAACACAAUAGUUACACUGUCCAUCACCUUCAUUCUCCUAGCAUCUCCACUCUCACAGGACCUACACUGUUGGCAGGAACUCCAAUGUCUAUGCAACUGCACUGUCUCAGGACCUCAAUGUUCCAGAACCUCCAAUGGUGCAGGACCUCCACUGUCAUGGACCUCCACUGUUUCAGGACAUCCACUCUAUCACCACCUAGACUUUUGCAGGACCUCUACUGGCCCAGGAUCUCUAUUGUUGCUGGUCUUACAUUGUCUAAAGACCUCUACUAUCGCAGAAAUUCCACUGUUGUAGAACCUUCACUGUCCCAGGGCCUCCACUGUCCAAGAACUCCACCUUUGCAGGGCAUCCACUCUUGCAGCAUGUGCCUUGUCUCAGGACCUCCACUACAUCAGUCAAAUCUCCACUGUAUCAUGACUUCCACUCGUGCAGGUCUUCCAAUGUUGCAUGACCUCCAAUGUGAAAGUAACUCCACUAUCUCAGUGCCUCCACUGUUACAGGACCUACACUGUCAGAGGAUCUGCACUACGGCACCAGCUCCACUGUCACAUUUUUGAAAGCAUUGCUUGUUGUUAGUGUUGAGGCUUCAAGGAGUGUGAUGCUACGUCUGAAAAGUUAAGAAUUUCUUCUUCAGCUCCUAUGAUUAAUGUCCAGAUGUGCUAGAUCAGUAGCGCCUGGAAGACUCAAUGAGCCGAUAGCCUUCGAAGCCUCACUUUGUGGUGUUCUGUUGUCUUUUGGGAAUGCUAAAGUCCAGGUGAAGGCAUGCGGUCAGAAGGAUAACUCUAGUGUGGGGUACACAUGAGUUGUGUUGAGUUCCUGCUAGGAAGGGUAGAAAUCCAGAACUGAAAGAAGGCUUAUGGUGGAGCAAGAAUCAUACAAUGCUUAGAAUAGGUAAAACAGAAACAAUUUUGCAGAAAUGGAAACCAGAGACACAGGAGGAACCAGCACAGAUCAAACUGCGUAGGACAAAGCACAAAGGUACCUGCGCUGAGCCUGCCUGCUGCUUGUUCUUUGGAUGUACUCUAGCCUUUAUUUCUCAGGAGAGACACUGUGCUGUACAAGGAGAGUUUUCUUCCUUGAUUGAGCACAGGAAUACUGCUUGAUUUGGAUAUUCCUAAUUUCUUGGUCCACCCUGUAAAGCAUCUGAGCAUGCUCCUGCUUGGGACAGUCUUGCCCUCUCCUGAAGCCCAGAGGGAUAAUAGGUUGUCUUCUGUGGUUUCAUUGCUGCUUUCGUUCUCCCUGAGGCUGCUUGUUGACUGAAGGCAGAAGACACCCUGGCAUGUAUGUUUUGUCCAGUGUGGUGUCACCUGGAAUGGCCUGAAGAAAAGGCCAGUCCCAGUGAUUCUUCUGAAUCUUCUAUGACUAAAGUUAUGGACAUAGGCAUAAACGAGGCCAUGGGGAAUGACAAGUUCAAUGUGCCAAUGGUGGUUUGGUUUCUACUCCUCUGAAGUCCUAGAUGGAAAGCAGCAUAAUCUUUAAGGGUAGGGAAUGGAGCCCUAACUGGACUCAGUGAGGGAGCCUGGUUGUGAAGCCAGGCACCUGGAUAGCCUGCCCUUUCAGUAAGACAUUGAACACCAUUGUCCGUUAAUAAUUUUUUUAUUUAAAGAAUCUUUAUUUCUUGGGCUUAGAACUGAAUAUAUUGCAUUACUUCCACAGUUGUAGGGUGUGGCCUGAGGUACCAUUUCCUCAUACGGAUUUGGGAAACCCUCCCAUUCUUUGAAGCGAGGUUGCAUUAUGAGGUUUGUGACUGUCAGCCUAUAUCUGGGGUUUACUGUGAUUAAGAGAUAAUGAUGAUGGUUGACCAUCAUAAACGUUGACAAAGAGGAGUUCAGGGGCAACAGAAGUGUAAGCACCACAGUGGUGCUUCAGCAUUUGCCCUGGUUCAACUCGGGUACUAAGGCAAAAUUCGAUGAUUUUGUUUUUUUCCAUUAAUAACCAAGAUAAUUGCUAUUUGGUUUCAGGUCCCUGUGAAAUAUUGUGUGCCCAGGGCAGUAGUUCAUCACUGCUAAUAUUUGCAAUAUAUUUUACUGACUUCUCCUGCUUUAGGUAGCCAUACUUUUGGAUGUAUUUGUAAAACUGUUGAGCUUCAACAAGCUCCAAGACAAGAUAUAAUAUUGUUUUGGUCUCAAUUAUUUGAAGAAACCACGUGAUGUUGGGAUUGUCACCCAUCAUCAUCACUGCCAUGGUCAUUACUGGCUGGCAUUAUUAUUUCUCCAUUACAAGGACUUUGACAGCCACUGUCAAAGGACCUAAUCUGUGGUAGAACCUCCACUCUCAGGGCAACUCCACUUUCUCAGGACCUCCAAAUUGCAGGACCUCCCCUGGCAUAGAAUGUACAUUUUUGCAGGACUUUCACUCUUGUAGCAACUCAACUCUUAAAAGACAUCCACUUUAGCAAGAUUUCCAGUGUCUUAGCACUGCCCUUCUUGAAGGACCUCCACUAUUGUAGGACCUCCACUGUUGCAGCACAUCCAUUCUCUCAGCAUCUAGAAUUUUGCAGAAUGUCAACUGGCAUAGAAAGUCCACAGUUGCUGGUUCUUCAAUUUCAUGAUAAAUCCACCGUAUCAGGACCUUCACUGUUGCAGGACCUCCAGUGUUGAAUCACAUACACUGUUUCAGGGCCACCACUGUCACAGGAACUUCUCUGUCACAGGAUCGCCACUCUCUCAGCACUUAUGCAAUCACAGGACCUCCAUUGCUUUGGACCUCCACUCUCGGAGAACCUCCACUGGUCAAGCACAUCCACUGUCUCAGAAACUCCAGUGUCUCGGGACAUUCACUGUUGCAGGAUCUCCCAUGUCUUAGCACACUUAUUUUUGCAGGACCUCCACUCUCGCAGACUCAUCUCAACUGUCUCAGGAUCUACACUAUAACUGUUGGACCUCUAAUGUCACAGGACCUCAAAUGACACUGGAUCUCCACUGUCCAAUCACAUUAACUGUCCCAACUCCUUCACUGUCGCAGGACCUACACUGUUGCAGGACCUCCAAUAUUGGACCAAUUUCCUGUCUCAGGGACCUCCAAUGUUGCAUGACCUCCACUGUUAAAAGAUAUCCACAGUUGCAGGAUAGCUAGUAGAAUUUGCAGGACCUAUAUUGGCCCAGGACCUCCAUUGCUGAUGAUCCUCCACUGUCUCAGUACCUUAACUAACACAGAACCUCCACUGUUGAAGCACCUCCACUGUCCUAGGAUGUCCACUAUUGCAGACAACGUCAGUCUUAAGUACCUCCAUUUUUGAAGGACCUCCAUGGGUGCAGGACCUCCACUCUUAGAGUGCCUCCAUUGUUGUAGCACCUCCACUGUUCCAACCUCAUCUCCACUGUCUCAGGACCUACAUUAUUGCAGGAUCUCCAAUGUUGCUGGACUUCUACUAUUGCAGUACCUCCAGUGUUGCAGGACCUACACCGUAGCAGGAUCUGCACUGUUGCACCAAUUCUACUUUCACAUUUUGUUGACAUUGCUGGUUAUUAGAUUUGAGUCUUAAUGGAAUGGGAUAUUACUUUUGAAAACACAGGAAUUUUUUUCUGCAUCACAUGUGAUUGAUGACCACAUAUUCUAGGACUGAUAUCCCCUGGAAGAUUCCAUGAGCCCUUAGUCCACCAGUCUUCACCUGGUCGGAGGUGUUGUGUUUUGGGAGAAGUUGAAUCCAGGUUAAGGGAUGGGAUCAGCAGGACACAGUUCUGUAGAGUGGGCUACAUAUCAGUCAUAGUGAGUCCCCUCUGGGAUGAGUAGAAAUCCAGAACUGAGAAAAUGCUAUUACAGGACCUCCAUUGUCUAAACACCUCCACUAUUGCAGAACCUCCACUGUCCAUACAUCAACCAGCUCCACUGUCCCAGAGCCUGAGAUGUUGAAGAAUCUCCACUGUCACAGGACCUCCAUUGCUGCAGGACCUCCACUGUCACAGGACCUCCAAUGACUCAGCAACUACACUUUUGUAGGACCAGCAUUGGCACAGGAUAAGCACUGUUGGUAGGCCCUCCACUAGCCUAUAACCUCCACUGUCCCAGAAUUUCCACUGUUGUAGCACUACCAGGGUCAAAGCAACUACAGUGUUUCAGGACAUCAACUGAAGCAGGACCUCUAAUGAUGCUGCAGCUUCACUGUCACAGGAUCUCUACAUUUACAGGAAUACCCCUGGAUCAGCAAUUACAAUUUUGCAGGACCUCAGUUGUCACAGGACCACCGCUGUAGCCAAACCUUCAAUGGUGCAGCAUCUCCACUGUAGGUAGAAUGACCUCCCCUAUCGCAGUGCCUCCACUUUCAAAGGACCUUCACUGUCACAGAACCUGCACUAUUUCAGUGCCUCCACUGUUACAGGACCUACCUCUUCACAGGAUCUGCACUGUUGCAGCAACUCUAAUUACACUUUUUCAAAGGCAUUACCAGUUAUUAGAUUUGAGGAUGAAUGGAAUGUAAUGUUACUUUUGAAAACAUAAGAAUUUGUCCUGUAUCACUUGUGAUUAAUGGCCACAUGUGCUAGGACCAGUAACCUAUGGAAGAUUCCCUGAUCUGAUAGCUCUGUAGCCCUCAUCUUGUUGAAGCUGUUGUCCUUAGAGGGUCAUACAGUUCAGGUGAAGGGAUUGGAUCAGCAAGACAACUCUGUGGAGUGGAGUACAAUUAAGUCGUAUUGAGUCCCAGCUGGGAAAAGGAGAAAUCCACAAGAUGGAGAAGGCUUGUGGUGGAGGAAGAACCGUAAAGUACUUAGAGAGUAUAAGAAGGUAAGAAUUGUGAGGAAAUGGAAAACAGAGCCAGAGGAAGAAUGACCACAGAGCAAAGUGGGAAGGGUAAAGCACAAAGGUACCUGGGCUGUGCCUUCUGCUUGUUCUCGGUAUGCUCUCCCUGUGCCUCAUUUAUGAGAGAACACAGUUCUGCCUUAUGUAAGGUUUCUUUCUUGAUGGAAAGGAGCAACAAAACUUCAGGGAUUUUCUCAUCUUCUUGGUCCAUCCUUUAAGUCCUCUGGGAAGGCCCCAGCUGGGGAAAGGCCUGCUCUCAGCUGACAAACACCUGGAGAAUAGCUUGUCCUUUAUGUUCUAAUUGGUGCUGCUCUUGUAAGUGUGUCUGCUUGCUGAGUAAAUGCAGGGGAAACCUCUGUCAUGUAUGUAUGCUUUGUCCAGUGUGGCUGUCAUCGGAAGUGUCCUGGAGAGAAGGGCAGUCCAGUGACUCUUCUGCUUCCUUUUGACUAGCCUCAUUAUUAUAGGCAGACAUUAGACCCUUGGAAGAUGAGGAGACCAAUGUGUCUAUGGUGUUCUCACUUCUACUUCUCUUUAGUCCUAAAGGGAAAUCAGUGCCAUCACCAGGGGUAGGGAAUGUUUGCCAUAACUGGACAAACUUGCUGACCUUGGGAUCUGCAGCAAUGCCCAUAGAGAGCCUGCCCUUACAGUAUGCAAUGGGAUGCCACGGUCUGGUAAUAUUUUCUUUGAUGUAUCUAUAAUAUCUUAGGCUCAAAACCCAAAAUAUCCAAUUGCUUCCACAUUAGCAUUGUCUGGCGUGAGGGGGAUCAGUUCCUCCAAGGAUUUGGGAACCACUUCCACUCUUCAUUGACCAGGGGUACAUCACUACUUCUAUGACUAUCAGCCCAUAUCUGGGGUUGACUGCCAUUAAGAUGCUACACAGAUCUCCAGCUCUUCGGACACCCAACAGUGGGCAGGAUACACACCGGCCGCAACAUAUCUUCUCACCUUUUUAUAACAACUGAGUCAAAUCCUACAACAGUGAAUUAUAAGCCUACUCCUUAACUCAAAUAUUGUUCUUUGGACCAUUACAACAUUUGCCUAGGAUGUAAUAACAGGCAUCAAAAUUGUAAACACCGUAGUGCCAGCUCAUCGUUUUCUCAGGUUCAACUUUGGUAGGAAAGGCCAAAGUUGAUGAUUUUGACUUUUCCGUUCUUGUGUAACAAAAUAUCACUCGAUUUCAAGUCUCCGUGAACUACACUGUGCCCAUCCCAGUAUAUCGAGUCUGCUAAUAUUUGCCUAAAUAUUUCCCUGACCUUGUCUUCCUCGAGGUGGCAAGACUUCAGAUGAAUUUGUAAAGCUAUAGAAUUUCAACUAGCUCCAUGAGAAGGUAUAGAUGUGUCUCAGACUCAAUUACUUGGUGAAGCAAUAUGAUAUUGGGGUGGAUGUAUAUCUUCAUUAUAUUGGCCAUGCUCUUGUCUGACUGGCACCCUUGCUGCUUCUUUGCAUGCACUUUGAUAACCACAGUAGCAGGACUUUCACUGUCCCAGUCACUGCACUAUCCUAAGACCUCCCUUGUCACAGGACCUCCACUGUGGUAGUACCGCAGCUGUCAGGAAACUCCACAGUCUCAUUACCUCCAAACUGCAAGAUCUCUACUGGCACAGGAAUUGUACUGCCCCUGGACUUCCACUGUCACAGCACUUCAACUGUUACAAGGACCUCUACUGUUGUAAGACCUCCUAUAUCACAGCACCUCCACGGUGACAAGGACCUGCAUUGGCAAAAGACCUCCAGUGUCUCACUGACUCAGGACUUUCAAAUUGCAGGAACUCUACUAGCACAGGUCAUCCACAGUUGCAGUUCCUCAACUGUUAUAAGGACCUCCAUUGUUGCAGAACCUUCAGUGUCCCUGCACCUUCACAGUCUCAGCAACUCCAACUUGCAGGACCUCUACUAGCACAGGAUGUCCACAGUAGGUAUACUUACCCUGUUGCAUUACCUCAAUUGUUGCAGGACCUCCGAUGUGGUAGGACAUCCACAUUUUCAGCAGCUAGACUUUUGCAGGACCUCUACUGGCCCAAAAAAUUCCUCUGUUCUGGACCUCCACUGACAGUGCAAAUGCACUGUCUAGGACCUCCACUGUUGCAAGACCUCCGAUGUUGAAGGAUGUCCAUUGUUUUAGGACAUUCCCUGUCAAAGAACCUCAACUGACACACAACCUCUGCUUUUGUAGGAUUUUCACUGUCCUAGAAAACCAAGUAUUGCAGGAAUUACCAACUUGGAGCAACUGCAUUGUAUUAGGACAUUUACUCUUGCAGGACCUGCAGUGUGGUUGCACCUCCAUUUUAGCCAGGUCUCAACUGUACCAGGCUCAUCUCUGCUGAAUCAGCUCCUCCAACACUGCAGAACAUCCAAUGUUUCAGGUCCUCAAACAUCCCAGGACCCCAAUUGAUGGAGGACUUCCAACGUUGCAGGACCACAAUAGUCACAGGUCCUCCACUGUCCCAUCACUUUUAUUUCUCCCAGCACCUCCACUGUCACAUGGCCUACAAUGUUGCCUAACCUCCAAUGCCUGAGCAACUACACUGUCUCAGGACCUCGAUUGUUCCAGAACCUCCAAUGGUGCAGGACCUCCACUGUCACCAGAUCUCCACUGUCUCAGAGCAUCCACUCUAUAACCGACUAGACUUUUGUAGAACCUCUCCUGGCAUAGCAUCUCCAUUGUUGCCGGCCUUACAUUGUCUCCAAACCUCCACUAUCACAGGAAUGCCACUGUUGUAGAACCUCCACCGUCACAGACCUCCACUGUUGGAGGACCUCCCCUGUCUAAACACAUCCACUAUUGCAGGACCUCCACUGUCCAAGGAAUUCCGCUGUUCCAGGACAUCCACUCUUGCAGCACCUGCAUUGUCUCUGGACUUCCACUGUACCAGUCCCAUCUCCAAUGUCUCAGGACCUCCACUCUUACAGGACCUCCAAUGUUCACAACCUCAAAUACAAAACUGCACUAUCCCAGUGCCUCCACAGUUGCAGGCCCCAAACUGUCUCAGGAUCUGCACUGUUUCAUUAAUUCCCCUGUCCCUUUUUUGAAAGCAUUGCUGGUUAUUAGUUUUGAGGCUUAAUGGAAUGUGAUGGUAUUUUUGAAAAAAUAACAAUUUUUCCUGCACAUCUUGUGAUUAAUUACCAGAUGUGCUAGCAUCUGUUGCCCCUAGAGGGUUGCACGAGCCCACAGCCCUGUAGACCUCACCUUGUGGCAGCUGUUUUGUUUCGGUGGUGUUCCAGUCCAGAAGGCAUGGGGUCAGCAGGACAACUCUGUAGUCCAGGGUACACAUCAGUCACAUUGAGUCCUUGCUGGGAAAAGGAGAAAUCCAGAAGAGGGAGAAGGCGUGGGGAGGAGGAAGAAAAAGACAGUACUUACAGAAGUUAAAUGGAAACUAUUUGCAGAAAUGGAAACCAGAGACACAGGAGGAAUCAGCACAGAGCAAACUGGGCAGGACAAGGCACAAAGGUACCUGGGCUGUGCCUGCCUGCUGCGUGUUCUUUGGAUGCUGUGUCUAUCCCUCAUUUCUCAGGACAGACACUGUCCUGUCCCAGGGGAGUUUUCUUGCAUGAUCGAACAAAAGAACACUGCUUCACUUGGAUAUUCCUAAUUUCUUAGACCAUCUCUUAAAUCCUCUGGGCCAGGCCAUGCUGGGGACAGACUUGCCUACUUAGAGGCACAGAGGGAUAAAAGCAAAGGGUAAUCAUCAUAGUGUUGGUUCUGUAUUUGCCCUAUCUCAACUUGGUUCAUAAGGCCAAAGACCAUGACUUUGACUUUUCCUUUCUUGUCCAAGAAAAUAUCAUGUAUUGUCUUCUGUGUUCUCAUUGCUGCUUCUGUUCUACCUGAGAUUGUUUGUUGACUGAAGGCAUCAGACACUCUAGCAUGUAUGCUUUGUCUAGCGUGGGCGUCAUCUGGAAUGCCUGGAGGAGAAGGCCAGUCUCAGUGGUUCUUAAUCCUCUAUGACUAGCAUUAUGGACAUAGGCAGAAAAGAGGCCAGGGGGGAUGACAAGUCCAAUAUGCCAAUGGUGGGUUGGUUUCCACUCUAAAGUCCUAGUGGGAAAGCAGCAUAAUCAUAAGGGUAGGGAAUGGAGCCAGUCUGAGACUGGUUGUGAAGCCAGGCACUUGGAUAGCCUGCCCUUCCAGUAAGCAAUUGGAGGCCAUGGUCUGGUUAUACUAUCUUUGAUAUAAAGAUUCUUUAUAUCUUAGGCUUAGAACUGAAUAUAUUUUAUUACUUUCCUCCCAUUCUUUGAAGCAGGAUUGCGUUAUUACAUCUGUGAUUGUCAGCUUACAUCUGAGGUUUACUGUUAGUAAUAGAAAAUUAUGAUGGUUGACCAUAAACAUUGACAAAGAAGAGUUCAAGGGCACCAAAAUUGUAAGCACCAUAGUGCCGGUUUAGCAUUUGCCCUGUUCAAUUGGGGUACUAUGGAUAAAUUUGCUGAUUGUGGCUCUUCCAUUGAAAUCCACCAUUAUAUUAUAUGGCUUCAGGUAGCUGUGAAACAUUGUGUGCCUAUGGCAGUAGAUCAUCACUGCUGUUCUUUGCAAAAUAUUUUCCUGACCUUGUCCUGUUCUAGGUAGCCAUACUUUUGGAUGAAUUUGGAAAGCUGUUGACCUUCAACAAGCUCCAUGAUGAGACAUAAUUUUGUUUUGCUCACAAUGACUUGAAGUAGUGAGAUCAUGUUGAGGUGGUCACCCAUCAUCAUCAAUGCCAUGGUCAUUACUGGCUGGCAUCAUUGCUUCUACAUUAGCAGGACUUUGAUGUCCACUAUGCAGCAACUCCACUGUGAUAGAUACUCUGCUGUCUAGGCAGCUCCACUUUCUAAGGACUCCAAAUUUGAGGACAUCUACUAGCACAGGAUGUACACAUUUGCUGGACUUUCACUGUUGCAGCAACUCAACUCUUAAGGGAUGCCCACUGUUGCAGGUUUUCCAAUGUCUCAGCCCCGCCACUCUUGAAGGACCUUCACUAUUGUAGGACCUCCACUGUUGAAACACAUUGAUUAUCUCACCAACUAGAAUUUAUAGGAUGUCAACUGGCACAGAAAGUCCACUGUUGCAUGACCACCAUUCUCAGUGAAAAUAUACUGUCUCAGGACCUCUACCUUUGUAGGACCUCCAGUGUAGAAGGAUGUCCACUGUUGCAUGUCCACCGCUGUCACAGGACCUCCUCUGUCACAGGACUUCCACUCUUCCAGGCUCAUCUCCACUGUCUCAGGAUUUCUACUAUAUCUCUAGGACCUCCAAUGUCGCAGGACCUCAACUGACACUGGACCUUCACUCUCCAAUCACCUUAACUAUCAAAGAACCUCCACUGUCUCAGGACCUUCACUGUUUCAGGACCUCCAAUGUUGGAGCAACUGUACUGCCUCAGGGGCAGGACCUCCAUUGUCACAGGGCCUCCACUGUCACAGGAUAUCAACUCUUUUAGACUUUUACAGGAUUUCUGCUGGCACAUGACCUCCAUUGUUGAGGGUUCUCCACAGUUUCAUUACCUUUACAUUGAAAGGAAUACCAUUCUGGGAGAACCUCCACUGUCCCAGGACCUCCAGUAUUACGGACUUCCUCAGUCCAAGUAGCUCCAUUAUUGAAGGACAUUUCUGGUUGCAGGACAUCCACUUAUACAGUGCCUCCAUUGUUAUAGGACACCCACUGUUCCAGCCUAAUCUCCACUCUCUCAUUAUCUCCAAUAUUUUAUGAUUGCCAAUAAUGGUGGACUUCCAUUGUUACAGUAAUUCCACUAUCUCUGUGCCUACAUUGUUCCAGGACCUACACUGACUCAUGAUAGGCACAGCUGCAUCAAGUUCACUUUCAAUUUUUAUUGACAUUGCUAGUUAUUAUAUUUGACCCUUACUGGAAUGUGAUGUUACUUUUGAAAGCCCAAGAAUUUGUUUUUUUAGCACAUGUGACUGAUUUCCACAUGUUCUAGGACUGUUAUCCCCUGGAAGAUCACAAGAGCUCAUAUCCCUCUAUUACUCACCUUGUGGGAGCUGUUGCCUUUCAGAGGGUAAUGCAAUUCAGGUGAAAGGAUAGGAUCAGCAAGUGAUAACUUUGUAGAGUGGGGUAUACAUCAGUCACAUUGAGUUCCUGAUGGGAAGAGGAGAAAUCCAGAACAGGAAUAACUCUUGGCAUAGAGGAAGAAUCAAAAAGUACUUACAGAAGGUAAGAAGGUACCAAUUUUAAGGAAAUGGAAAUGAUAGAGGAAGAACCAGCACAGAGCCAACUGAGUAGGACAAAGCACCAAGGUACCUGGGCUGUACCUGGUCCUUGUUCUCUGCAUGCUAUCCUUAUUCCUUCUUUUUGGGGAGAAUCUCUGUCCUGCCUCUUGUGAAGUUUCUUUCUUGAUGUAAAGCCAUGACAAAGGUUCAUCAGGGAAGUUCCCCCAUUUCUUCCUCCAUCUCUUAAAGCCUCUGCUCCGACACCAGCUGGUGAAUAUCUUGCACUCUUCUGAAGCACAGACAGAGAAUAUGUUGUUUUUUCUGUUCUCAUUGAUGCUACUCUUCUCCCUGAAGCUGCUCAUUCAGUAAAUGUGGGAGACAGUGUCUUUUGUCCAGUGUUGGUGUCAUCUGGAGUGGCCUGAAGAGAAAGAAGGCCAGUCCCACUGGGUCUUCUGCCUACUCUAUAACAAGCAUUUUGGAUAAAAACAGAAAUUAGACCAUUGGAAGAUGACGAAACUAAUGUGCUGAUGGUGGGCUGGCUUCUGCUCUUCUUUAUUCCUAGAGGGAAAGCAGCAUCAGCAUCAAUGUUAGGGAAUGGUGCCAUAACUGUUCUCACUAGGUGACACUGUGUUGUGCAGCCAUGUCCCUUGAGAGCCUGCCCUUGCAGUAAGCAAUAGGAUGCCAUGGUCUUGAUAUACUUUUUUUGGUACCUGUAGUAUCUAGGGCUUGGAACCAAAUAUAUUGUAUUGCUUCCACAAUUGCAAGUUCUGUCCUGAGUGUGAUCAGUUGCUCAUAGGGAUUUGGGAAUGCUUUUCUGUCUCUCUUGAACUAGAUUUGCAUGAUGGCGUCCAUGACUGUCAGCCUGUAUCUGGGGAUUACUCUCAUUAAGAACUUAUGCAGGUCAUCCAGCUCUUCUCAUCUCCCACAGGGGGCAGGAUUCACACAGGCUACAACCUGACUUCUCAGCCCUUGUAUGACUAGUCAAAUGAAACCUCUGACUACCAUGAAAUAUAAGACUACUCAUGUCUUCCCUGUGUCAUUCUUUGGACUAUCAUAAAAUUUGCCUAGAUAGAGCUCCAUGGCAGCAAAAGGUAAUCAUCAUAGUGCCGGUUCUCUAUUUGCCCUAUAUCAACUUGGUUCAUAAGGCCAAAGACCAUGACUUUGACUUUUCCUUUCUUGUCCAAGAAAAUAUCAUGUGUUUUGAGGUUUCUUUGAACUAUUAUGUGACUAUGGCAGUAGUUCAUGCCUGAUAGUAUUUACCUAAAUGUUUCCCUGGUUUUGUUCUCCACCAACUGGCCAGCUGUUCAGAUGUGUCUGUAAAACUGGUGACCUUCAAGUAGCGUCAUGACAAGGUAUUGUCUUGUUUCAGACUCAAUUACUUGGAGUAGUGAAAUGAUGUUGGAAUGGUCAAAAAUCAUCAGUACAUGUGCCAUCUUCAUUACUGGCUGUCACCCUUGCUUCUUCUUUACCAGCACUUUGACAGCCACUGUAGCAGGACAUCCACUGUUCCAGUAUGGUAAUGACCCAGCACCUCCACUAUCACCGUUCUUCCACUCUUGCAGGACCUCCACUCUUGCAGGACCUCCACUCUUGCAGCACCUGCAUUUAGUCAGGACCUCCACUGUACCAGUCCCAUCUCCACUUUCCCAGGACCUCUACUCAUGCUGGUCCUCCAAUGUUGCCUGACCUCCAGUGUAAAAGUACCUGCACUAUCUCAUUGCCUCCAGUAUUGCAGGACCUACAUUGUCACAGGAUCCACACUGUUCACUAACUCCACUGUCACUGUUUUGAAGGAAUUGCUGGUUAUUACUUUUGAGGCUUAAUGGGAUGUGAUGUUACUUCUGACAACUUAAGAAUUUGUUCUUCAGCUCUUGUGAUUAAUUGCCAGAUAUGUUAGGAUCAGUUGCCGCUGGAAGAUUCCAUUACUCUAUAAUAGGCCUCUAGGCCUGACCUUGAGGGAGCUGUUGUAUUUGUGGGGUGCUCUAGUACAGAUGAAGGCAUGAGUGGGGUCAUAUUGAAUGCCUGCUGGGAAGUAGAGAAAUAUAGAACAGAGAGAGCGCUUGGUGUGGACCAAGAAUCAUUCAGUACUUACAGAAGUUAAAAAGGAAAUAAUUUUGAAGAAAUGGAAAUCAGAGACACAGGAGGAACCAUCAUAGAGUAAAUUGGGUAGGACCUAGCACAAAGGUACUUGGGUUGGGCCUGCAACUUGUUCUCUGGAUGCUCUCCCUGUGCUUCAUUUCUCAAAAGAGACAAGGCGUUCUGCCUCAGGUGAGAUUUCUUUCUUGAUGGAGAGCAGCAACACAUUUUCAUCAGGACAUUUUUUUAUUUCUUGUUCCAUCCUUAAAGCCUUUUGGAUGGCCACUACUGGGGACAGUGUUGCCCUCUCCUUAGGCACAGAGGAAUAAUAGGUUGUCUUCUGUGUUCUCAUUGCUGCUUCUUUUCACCCUGAGGCUGCUUGUUGACUGAAGGCAGAAGACACCCUGGCAUGUAUGUUUUGUCCAGUGCAGGUGUCCUCUGGAGUGGCCUGAAGAGAAGGCCAGUCUCAGUGGUUCUUCUGAAUCCUCUAUGACUAGAAUUAUGGACAUAGGCAUAAAGAAGGCUAUGGGAGAUGACAAGUCCAACGUGCCAAUGGUGGGUUGGUUUCCACUUCUCUGCAGUCCAGGCCUAGUGCGGAAGUAGCAUACUCAUUAAGGGUAGGGAAUGGAGCCAUAACUGGAGUAACUGUCUGAGGCUGGUUGUGAAGCCAGGCACCUGGAUAGCCUGUCCUUCCAGUAAGCAGUUGAAUGCCAUGAUCUGCUUAGACUUUCUUUGAUAUAAAGAAACAUUAUGUCUUGUCUUUUGAAUGGAACAUAUUGCAUUACUUCCAAAAUUCCAGGGUGUGGCUUGAGAGGUAUCAUUUCCUCAUAGGGGUUUGGGAAAUGGCUCCCAUUCUUCUUUGAAGCAGGGGUGCAUUAUCAUGUCUAUGAUGGAUAUAUCUGGGUUUGACUGUCAUUAAGUUGCUAAGCAGGUCAUCUAGCUCUCUUGACACCCAACAGUGGUCAAGAUACACACCUGCCACAUGUCUUCUCAGCUCGUGUAUGAAAAUAGAGGCAACAUUUCCAACUACCUUAAAAUGUAAGACUCUAGCAUUCAUAUGUGGUUCUUUGAACCAUCAUAAAUUUAUCCUAGGAAGAGUUCAUGGGCAUCAAAAGUGUUAGCACCAUUGUACAGGUUCAGCAUUUGCUCUGAUUGUCUUGGGUACUAAGGUCAAAGUCAAUGAUUUUGGCUUUUGGUUUCUUAUCCAACAUAUUAGUUGUUUUCAAGUCCUGUGAUUAUUCUGUGCCCCUGACAGUAGAUCUAGGCUGUUAAUAUUUGCAUAAACAUUUGCCAGGCCUUGUCCUUCACUAUGUAGCCAUACUUUGAGAUACAUUUGUAAAGAUGUUGAACCUCACCCAGCUCCAUGACAAGGUAUCCACUUGUUUUGGUCUCAAUUACUUGUAGAUGAUGUUGGGGUAGUUAAACACAAUUGUUGUCAUUGCCAUGGUCAUUACUGGAUGGCAUAAGUGCUUCUUCCUCACAAGGACUUGGAGGCCACUGUAUCAGAACAUCCACUGUCUUAGCACCUGCUUUUACCCAACACAUCCACUGUACUGACUGUCCAAGCCUAUGUUUUGUUGCCUUUCCCCUGAACUUCCUGCCAUUGCAGAAGGAAGUAGGAUGAUAUGGUCUGGUUAACACAUUGUCUGGUUCAAGUGUCCUUAGUUUCUAGGGCUUGGAAUCCAAUGUAUUCCAUUGCUUUUUCACAUUAGCAGGGUCUAGCCUGAGGGGGAUCAGUUGCUCAUAGGGAUUUGGGAACUGCUUCUAGUCUUAGUUGAACUAGGGUUGCAUCAUGACCACAAUGACUGUUGGCCUAUAUUUAUGGUUGACUAUCGUUAGGAGGCUAAGUAGGUCUUCCAGCUCUUCUGACACCCCACCAGAGGCAGCACAUACCUCUACUACAACGUGUUUUCUCAGCUCCAAAAUUAAGAGAGAAUCAAAUGGAAAAUUUCUGACUGUCAAGAAUUAUAAAAUUCCACCCAAGGUCCAUAUUUUGUUCUUUGGAACAUAAUAAAAUUUUUCAACGAAGAGUUCAGGGACACCAAAAGUAUAAGUAUCGCAGUGCUGGUUCAGCAUUUCCCCUGGGUAGAAUGAGGUACUAGGCCAAAGUUCAUAAUCUUGACUUUUCAAUUGAUAUACAAACCAGCACUCUUUGGCUUCACGUCCCUGUGAAGUAUUGUUUGCCCGUAGAAGUGGCUCAUCACAGCUAUUAUUUGCACAAUAUUUCCCUAGCCUUGACUUACUCUAGGAAGGCAUAUUUUGGCACACAGUAAGCAAGAUGAUCUCCUGGUUUGAUUAUGCAUUGUAAUAUCUUAGACUCAGAAUCCAUUAUGGUGCAGUUCUUCCACAAAUGCAGGGUCUAGCCUGACAGAGCUCAGUCCUUCAUAGAGAUUUGGGAAAGACUUUCAGUCUUCCUUUAACCAGGGGUACAUCAUCCCAUCUGUGACUGUCAACCUAUAUUUCAUGCUGACUAUCAUUAAGAGGCUAAGUGGUCCUCUAUCUCUUCUGACACCCUGCGGGGGUUAGGAUACAUACAUGCCACAAUGGUCUUCUCAAUUGUAGUAUGAAUACAGAGUAAGAUCUGACUUUUUUAACUACCAUGAAAUGUAAAACUCAGGUCCAUUUGUCGUUCUGUGGACUAUCAUAAAGUUGCUGAGGAAGAGUUCAGGAGCUCCAAAAGAGAAAGUACCACAGUGCCACUUCAGCAUUGCCCUGGUUCAACUAGGGUUCUAAGGCAAAAGUCUAUGAUUUUGACUUCUCCAUUUAUGUCCAAUGGUAAACUUAUCAGGUUUCUGUUCCCUGUGCACUAUACCCUGGUCAUUUCAUUAGCUCACAGUUAUGAUUAUUUGCCUAAAUAUUUCCCUGCCUUUGUCCUCCCCUAGGUGGCCCCAUUUUCAGGUGCUUUGGUAAAGCUGUUGUCCUUCAACAAGUUCUUACUUGCAGAAGUGAGAUGCUGUUCAGGUGGUCAACCAUCAUUGUCUCUGCCUUGGUCAUGAGUGUCAGGCACCAUUGCUUCUUUAGAAGCGGUUCGAUGGCUCUGGGGCUGCCACUGAGUCGAAGGUGUUGCUCCUGUGUCCCAUGGUCCUUAAGACUUUGUAUUGAGAUUGGAAUUUUCCCUCAUCAGAAAUUCUGCUGAGGGCUAGGGUGUGGGGUCUGCUCUUUACUAUGUGUAAGCAUUGUAGCUAAAGAUACUACAAAUAUUACCUAGAAAUAACUUAAAAGUAUAGAAUAAAAAUAAUGGAAACGAUGUAGGGCAAAUGAAGCUAAAAUCACAGCAUGUGUUAACUAAAAAUGACCAAAAUGUCUUUGGGAUUGCAGUUUAUUCUUUUAUUUGUUUCUGUUUUACUUUUUGUUUUUGUUUGUUUCUUGGUUUUUUGGCUCUGUCAAGAGGGCAACCCUGUAGUGCAGAUUCAGAUGAUGUCAGGUGAAAUAGUCAUUGGCCACAUAAAGGCUAAAGCCUGUGUUUGGGCAAUGGAAGGAAAGACACAGCAGAACUUUUUGGGGAAUGGAGAGAAAGAAGAAUAGAGGCGGAAGAAUCGGCCAAAAAGAAGAUGGGGGAGAAAGAGGUUGAAAAUGGAGCAGGAGCCACAAGUAGGUAGAGAUUUUAUAAAUGGGCAAUAGAGUAGUGUAGUGGUACAUUUGUCUAAUCUAAGCACUCAGCUUAUAAUUAUAUAAUUGAGUUUUCUGUUCUUGCAUGGGCCUUUUGGCGUUGGAGAUUUACCCCUAUAAAUCUGGCUAGUAUAAGCCUCUUGUGUUUUCAUUACAAAAGACUAAGACAAGUCCUGUGAGAGGAGCAUUGGCCAGCGUUCUGCAGGUCAGGGAGAUGGGGUGGAUGAGAUAAGAAACGCAAGCAGCAGUCCAGGCAUUUCAGAUUAAAGUUGUUUGGUUAGAGUAGCAAACUAGGAGCAGGAACCUGGCAAGAUGACAGCAUAUAGCUGGCCAUGUGGGUUGAGCGUUACCACUGAUACCAGAGCAUAGCAGGAAUUUGCAUUCCUGUGUUCUCAUUGCUGUUGUGUUCUCUCUGAGGAUGAUUAUUGAGUGAAUUCAGGCGACACUGCUGGCGUGGAUGUAUGUUUGUCCAGUGUGGGUGUAAUCUGGUGUGGCCUGAAGAAACAAAGGGCAGCCCCAGUGACUCUUCUGCCUACUUUUUGACCAGAUUGUGGUCAAAGGAAGUCACUAGACCAUUGGAUGAUGAUGAGGCCUGCGCAUAUAGGGCAGGGUAGCUACCACUCCUCUACAGCCCAACAGGAAUGCAUCAUCAUCAUCAAGGGGAGGGAAUAACUGGACUCAAUGUGUGAGCCUCCAUUGUUCAGCCUUGCACCUGGAGAACUUGCCUGUACAGUAAGCCACAUGAUCCCACGGUUUGAUUAUAUGUUGUGAUAUCUUAGGCUCUGUACCCAGUAUGUUCUAUUUCUUCCACAAUUGCAGGGUCUACCUGACAGAGCUCAGUCCUUUGUAGGCAUUUGGGAAAGCCUUUCAAUCUUCCUUUAACCAGGGGUACAUCAUCACAUCUGUGACUGUCAACCUAUAUUUCAUGUUGACUAUCAUUAAGAGGCCAAGAGGUCCUACAUUUAUCUCUUCUGACACCCCACAGAGGUUAGGAUACAUACUUGCCACAACCGGUCUUCAAAACUGUAGUAUGAAGACAGAGUAAAAUCUGACUUUUUAAUCUACCAUUAAAUGUAAAACUAUGGUCCAUAUGUCAUUCUGUGGACUAUCAUAAAGUUUUCUGAGGAAGAGUUCAGGAGCUCCAAAAGAGAAAGCACCACAGUGCCAGUUCAGCAUUGCCCUGGUUCCACUUGAGUUCUAAGGCAAAAGUCGAUGAUUUUGACUUUUCCAUUUAUGUCCAACAUAAUCUUAUCUGGUUUCAGUUCACUGUGUACUAUACCGUGCUCAUGGCAUUAGCUCACAGUUGCUAUUAUUUGCCUAAAUAUUUCCUGCCCUUGUCCUCCUCUAGGUGGCCCCAUUUUCAGGUGUUUUGGUAAAGCUGUUGUCCUUCAACAAGCUCUUACUUGGGGAAGUGAGAUGCUGUUCAGGUUGUCGACCAUCAUCAUUGUUUCUGCCUUGGCCAUGUGUGGCCUACACCAAUGCUUCUUUACAAGCAGUUUGAUGGCCAUGGGACUGCUAGGGAGGUGAUGAUGUGAUAUCGGGACCUUGGCAUUGCUCCUUAAGUCCUUAAGACUUUGUACUGAGUGUGGAAGUUUCCCUCUGCUGGGGCCUAGGGUGUGGGAAAUCCUCCUUACUAUGUGUAAGCAUUGUAGCUAAAAAUACUACAAAUAAUACCUAGAAAUAACUUUAAAAGUGUAGAAUAAAAAUAAUGAAAAAGAUGUUUGGAAACUGAAGCUAUUGUCACUUCAUGUGUUAACUAAAAUGAGCAAAAUGUCUUGUGGAUUACUGUUUGAAUUUUUUCCUCUCAAGAGAGUGGCCCUGUAGUGCAAUAGAUCACAUAUUCAGAUGAUGUCAAGUGAAAUAGUAAUUAGCCAUAUAAAGGCUACAGCCUGUCAUUGGGCAAUGGAAGGAAAAGAUAGAGCAGAAUGUUUUGGCAAAGGGAGAGAAAGAAUAGAGACGGAUGAUGCGGGCAAGAAGAAGAAGAUGGGGGAGAAGAGGUGGGAAAUGGAGCAGGCCCAUGGGCUUGCAGGAGCCACAAGUAGCUAGAGAUUUCAUAAAUGGGCAAUAGAGUAGUGUAGUGGUAGAUUUGUCUAAUCUAAGCACUCAGCUUGUACUUAUAUUAUUGAGUUUUCUGUUCUUUGACUGGGACUUUUGGAGUUUGAGAUUUACCACUAUAAAUCUGGCUAGUAUAAGCUUCUGGGUUUUCAUUUCAAAAGACUAAGGCAACUCCUGUGAAAGGAGCAUUAUCCAACUUUCUGCAGGUCAGCCAGAGGUGGUGGAUGGGAUGAGAAAUGCAAGCAGUAGUCCAGGCAUUUCAGAUUAAAGUUGUUUGUUUAGAGUAGCAAACUACCAGCAGGAACCAGGACAAGAUGGCUGCAUAGAGCUAGCCAUGUGGGUUCAGCAUAACCACUGAUACCAGAACAUAGCAGGAAUUUGCAUGGGUUUAAUUUAAAACUUCAUGCAAUAGAUGAUGUUGCGUGUGGUAGUCAACAAUCCACUAGGGAGUUAGGAUUCUUGUCCUAGGGAUGAGAGAAUUAGAUUCCUGAAUGAGCAGAGAUGAGUCAAGUGACUCCAGCACAUGGGAAUCUUAAUCAAACACAGUGAUAGACAGACCCAAAUCAGGCUCUGAGUUCUCCUCCUGUAAAAAGAAUCAGUAUAAUAAAUGGAUCCAGGCAGAGAGGGAGACUGAAGACUGCCUACUUUUAAUAAAGUUUGGUUUAGUUGUUGCUAAUUUGGUGUAAUUUUGUUUAAAGAUAGAAGAGGACACAAUUUUGGCCAGAGUCACCUGGGGAAUUGCUCCUGAGGUUCAGAGCUAACUCAGGGCAAAUGGGCCCAGAUUAUCUGGGAGCUCCUGCUGUGCAGGGACAAACUGAGCUAACAGAAAAACUACAGCCUCCAAGGCAGACAACAGAAUUUGGAUAAGGAUGAAAUCCUCUAGGAAAGUCUCAGUGUAUCACAGGAUUCUCCUAUUCUCUCAAAAGAGGGUUAAAUAUCCUGUCUUGGCAGAUUAGAAAAGGCCCGAAAAAACUGUUUCUACUCUGCUUGUUUGGUUUAGUUCCCUCGUAUGAGUAUUUAAUUUUCGAAAUGUAUGUGAUUUUGAAUUUUCUGGUUAUUUUACUAUUCCUCUGGGAAAGAUGUCAACCUAAAAAUCUUUCUGGUUACUGGCUAAAGCGCAUGCUAAUUUGGGAGAAAGACCUUAUGUUUCUGCUUAUAGGAAAAGUAAUUAGGCACUGGACUCCUUCCAGGGUUCUCUGGGUCAGAAAGGGCAGAGUGAGCCCCCCUGAAGAACUAGAAAAUUCAAGAGAACCAAGCAAGAAAGGUAAAGAUUCCUUAUGCCAUUGUUCACAAUGCAUGAACGAAGACUUAUGAUUAGUUAUUAUUAAAUUUGGCUCAUAAAAAGACUAUCUUUUCACAUGCUUAAACAAAGAGCAGUAUUUCAUCUUGAGUAGUCAAGGUAUUUUAUGUUAAACUGGUUCCCAAUUGGCUUAGCAAUCGAGCCUCAGGAUGCAGGGUAACAAGUGCAUAGAAGUAGCCAUAGGGACUGGGUGAAACUCUGAUGCCUGUGUUUAGCCAGACUUAGUGUGGGGUUAUUUUAAAAUUACAUGUAACAAAAAGUGCUUGAAAUAAACUAAAGUCAAAGUUAGGAAAAUAGAAUACAAAUUAUGGAAAAGAUAUCAGGGAAAAAGCUAAAGUCAAAAAUCCCAACUAAAAUCCAAACAAAUAACCCACCUUGUAUUCUGUUCAGAAAAGUCACGAAGCUCUCUAGAAGGAGACAAGACAGGAUGCAGCUGUUGGGCUAUCUCAGGCAAACUCUGCACCGGAGCACCUGUUCAAAGAGAUUAGAAUAUCAUUAUUGUAUCAUGGAUGUUUACUGGGAGAAUGGAAUGAUUUAACAGCUGAGUUGUGGAAUUCUAUUGAUCUAUAAAAUAACCUAUGCAGUGGAUAAUAUAAAGUUAUGAAAUAUCUUCCAGCUUCAUUAAUCAGAACUAUAAAAUUUCAAUCUAGCCCAUGGAUGCUGAUGGUAACUGUCGCUUCUGUUUCCGACCCGCAGAAAAGAGCGACUACACAGCGUUCUUCUCAAAGCGGUUUAUUCAGGAACCUUACAACAUGCAAACAGGAAUCUUCUUUUCUUCUGUCUCCCUCCCAGCCCAGCCCCCGGAGCACACUCCCUUAUACCCUCCCUCAACUCCGCCUCCUCAGUCCAGACUGCGUAAUCUCAGUUCCUAGGUCCACGUCACAUGGCCUGAUCUUGCAUCAUGGUGCGCCUGCACAGCUCUCACAAUGGACGUGGCUAGUUUCAGGUGUGUGAGGAAGUCAGAUGCUAGUCACGAGACUUAGCUGCAGUCCCAGGCGCCAUCUUGGGACUACCGCCACACCCGCUCCCCACAGGUAACUGUGAUUUCAAGGUCAUUUCCAAUCAUCUAUGUUAAGUGUUUUGACUCAAGGAAACUGGCAUUGCCAUAGAUGAAAUCAGUAAAAGGCAUAUUUAUUUCUUCUUUGCCACAUAACUAGACAAAUGUCAGUUCAAAAAGUUGCGAUUAUUGAGUGUACUUUUUUCAUCUCAGUUACUUUAUGUAUUUUUUCAUUUAUUUAAAUUUCCAUACAUGUAUACAGUAAAAUAUGGUCAUAUCCACCCUAACAUCUGUCCUCCAACUUCUAAAAGAUCCCUCUGAGAAUCCCCCGAUUGACUCUAUAGCCCUGGUUGGUCUGGGACUUGCUGUGUAAAUCAGAUUAGUCUAGAACCACAGAGGUCCACCUGAAUCUGAUCCUGGGCUUAAAAGUCAGCACCACUAAACCAUUCCUCUGUGUGUGUGUGUGUGUGUGUGUGUGUGUGUGUGUGUGUGUGUGUGUGUGUACGGAAAUAUACAUACACACAUUUUUUGUAUCCCAGUAAGCCCUAUUAGUGCUAGUCAUACAUGCAUACUGUGUGUACAGACAUUCACUGGAUUAUCAGAGUCCUACCAGUGGCUUGUCCCCAAGGAAGAGUGAAUUUCUAUCAGCUGUGGUUAACUGCAGCUCCUCAUUUGAUGCAAGGGCUUAUAAGUUCUUCUCCCACCCGUGCACGAUGUGCAAACAAAUGACACAGCCACCUCUGUCACUUUACUCGGUUAACAUAUACUAAUAAAAUAUUAUGGUAUUUUCAAAUUUAUAUGUAUAUGUAUUGUAUAUGUAUAAUGACACAUUGUAUAUACUUGUAAUGGCUAUUCUUGGUUGUGAACUUGACUAUAUGUGGAAUGAACUUCAAUCCAGAAUUGGAAAGCUCACCUUUGAUCCUGAUUUGAGGCUGGGAGACACAAAUUUCUGAACUGAAUCUUGGCAUGGAGAUCAUGAGGCAAAGUAGCUAUGAAUCUCAGGAGUUUAAGACAAGGAGAUCUCUGAGUUCAAGGUCACCUAGGACAAAGCAAGUCCCAGUUCCAGCUGUGGUGGUACACACCUUUAAUCUGGGACAUACCUUCUGCUGGAGAUUUAUAUAAGGACAUUGGAAGAAGGAAGAGUCUCUCUUUCGUCCGCCUGCCUUAUUUGUAGGACUGAGCCACUGCUAGAUCCUUGGACUCCUAUUCAUACCUGCUGCUGAUCAUUGUUGGGGAGUUGGACUAUAGACUGCAAGUCAUCAACCAAUUGUCUUACUGUACAGAGAUUUCCCAUAAGAUCUGUGUCUCUAAAGAACCCUGUAUGAGACAAUUCUCUUUUAUAAUAUAUAAUUUCUAUUGAUAGAUAAUGUAAUUUAUUAUUUUAUUCAUAAUAUUAUUAUAUUCAUCUCUAUGUUUAUAUGUAAACAAAACACAGGUUGUAUGCCUAUGAAACAGUAACACACUGCAUACUUGAUGACUGCUGUCUUUUCCCUACUCCCUACUGCAGGGGAGAAAAUGGACCAUUCUCAUCAAUGAAAAAGGUAAAAUAAAAUGUUAACUAUUUGCUGAAACACAGAUGGUUUGCACAUAAAAUUACAUCUUCUUGAUUGCUACUUUAGAAAUUUUUCUUCAUUUCCUGAAGUCACUUUUUAUGAUACAUUACUAUAUCAAAUACUAUCUCAUAGUUUUUAAGGUAAGUUAUUUUUAUUGUUGGUACAAAAGUAUACACAUAGUGUUGUGCAACUUCCAGUAAUAUCCGGGUAGGGCUUCAUGCACAUGACUGUAUGGUUUAAUACUUCCCUAUGUGAUCCAAAGCUCUUUUGUUGUCAUAUUAUGAUCUCUAAGCAGAAUAUUUUUGAUCCUGAAAUUAUAUACAAUACCUAACUUUUUUUAAAACACUUCAUUAGCUCUCUCCAUAGAAUGCUAUUUAAGUGUGUUUGACUGUUCGGUCCCAGGAUAUGAAUUCCAGUAGAGCACUUUCUGGAUAAUAUUUACUUACAAAGUGUUGUUAACUGCUUCCUCCAAGAAGUUAAUUUCUUGUUUUGAAAUUUAAACCUUAUGUUUAAAUAGAAGAUAGAGAAGGCAGAUGCUGGAUUAUUUAGUACCAAGCUGGUUUUCUGUCCUGAUAUGGGUAAGGGCUGGUCACUUGAGGUGUUUCUCAUUCCUUUGGAUUUGUAGCUGUUUCAGACUUUAUAAAUAAUCAUUUUGAGUAUUACAAGUCUAUGGGCAUUUUCUCACCAAAUUGUCCAUUUUUACAGGAGUAUUUUUCUUACAAGUUUGGAACCAUAAAAUAGAAACUUUCCUAACUAGUCAAGCUACUAGGGUGUAUGUGGGCAGGAUUUUGCACAUUUCCUGCUGUGUGAUUUAAUUGUGCUGUUCUGACCAUUUUUUUUUUGCAUAGGCUGCUGGCCAGUAUAAACUGGAAAUCUAUGUUAAGUCGUUGUCCAAGGAGGUAUUGCAGAUGUGGUCAGUAUUUGUUUUAAAGGAAACAGUGAAAGGCAUUCUUCACUCGAGCUUUGUGAAAUACUGUGCAGAUGCUUAUGGCUGUGGAUGCUGUGUGGUGGGAGGAAUGCUGCUGUGCACUGACUGUGUGGUGUGAGGAAUGCUGCUGUGCACUGACUGUGUGCUGUGAGGAAUGCUGCUGUACACUGACUGUGUGGUGUGAGGAAUGCUGCUGUGCAUUGACGCUGCCUUUCUUCUUUUCUCCCUACACCUGCAUCCUUCUGGUGGCUCAGGUUGGACAACUAGGUGCCCAUGACCAACUCCUCAUUGUGGAUGGAUUUAGUCUGGUUGGACUUUCUCAGGAAAGGGCAGCAGAACUCAUGACUAGUACCAGUCCCAUGGUUACCCUGGAAGUUGCAAAUCAAGGCAUCCUCUUUCACUGCCUGUCCACCUUUCUUACCCAGCCAUUGUCCUCCAUGGUGCAGAGAGGUAAGAGCUAGUGACUCAAGCCAGGUUAGCCAACAUAUAGUGAUGCUGUAUUGAGAUAUGGCUCCUCCUAAAAGUUAUCAAAAUCUGGGGCUGGAAAGAUGGUUCAGUAUUUUACAACACCAGUGUUAGCCCAAAACUGCCCGAAACUCUAAUUUCAUGGGAUUUAAAGCACUCUUCUAAGUUCUCUGUAUUCAUGUGCACACAUGCUGGGCAAACACUCAUACACAUAAAUUAUUUUUAUAAAGAGAGGCCCUAAAAUUCCCAUGUAGUAGCUCCUACCACAGCUCUUGCUCAGCUCUUCAAGGAAGAAGUUAGUUGAGACAGAGUGCAUGAUGCUGAGAAAUACUUCUGGGUCAUGAUUCAGAUCAGAUCUAAUGGUACGGUUUCCUAGAUAUAUUCACAGUCUGUUAAUUGCAGUAUUGUGAACUCCCUUCUGACCCUGCCUCGGCUUUGGAACCUGCACACCCUAGCGCCUGAUCUUUGUAGCUACAGUAUCAACAACAAUAUCAGUGUCUGACAGUCUAGAAUCCUGUAUACUAAAGCGUAGAACAGGAACCAAUCCUGGCUAGACCAUGUGUUGGCAUGUUAAAGCAGAACACCAUUUACAAACUCAAAGAGGGUCGUGGGUAACAAAUGAGUCCCAGGUGAGCAGACAGGAAGACUAAACUGUGAACAGGUGUGGAUAAUCACACCAUGUGACAGCACCAUGUGAUGCUGUCAUUCUGAUGGAUAAUAAUAUGUGUGUUAUCAAGUGAGAGAAGAGUAGUUGAGUGCUUUUUAAAAAUUACUCUAAAAAAGGUUACUUUGUUAUUUACAAAUUAUAAGUCAGAUGUUGAGAAAAUAAAAAAGGUCAAUUUCUCCCAUAGAUACAUACUAUGUAAAUGAAAAGGUUUUCUAGACAAUAUAUGUAAAAGUUUUUGAAAAUGUUCGUAUAAAGCUAUUUGUGGUGGCAUGUACCUUUAAUGCCAGCUCUAAGGAUGCAGAAAGAGGCAGAUUUCUGUGAGUUUGGGGUCCUCUUGCCUGUGUACUGAAUUCCAGACCAGCCUCAAAUACGUAGUGAGACCCUGGACUAUGGUUUCUUCUGAUUGCUUGGUUGUUUUUGCUUUUUUAGGCUGGUCAAAGAAUGUAUAUAUAAGAUCACCCUAUUAUACCAAGAGCAGUUAUUAAAUAUAAGAAUUUUAGAUGCAUCCUUUGAAGCUCUUAAUCUUAGAAAGAAUGAGGGAGAGAG